AAGGAAAGGGAUUAAACUGUUCCCCUUGAGAACUGGGGAGUUUGGUGCCUGAAAUGACAGAAUCACAGAAUGUGCUGAGUUGGAAGGGACCCACAGGGAUCACAGAUCCAGCUCCCAGCCCUGCACAGGACCAGCACCAAGAGUCAUAUCCUGUGCCUGAGAGUGAUGAGCAUCUUGUGGCCUUUGGGUGCUUUAACUCCUCUGGAGACAGCCACAUGAGGUAGUCAGGAAAGAAGAAAAAAAAUGAUGACCUUAAAGUAAUUUAUUACUGUUUAUGCCAGUGUCUGGAUUUCAAGCCACCCUGGAGCAAAAAGGUAAAACAUGAAGAGGUGUCAAAAGGUGUCCAUAAACUAAAAGGUGGUUAAGAAGGUUGGACUGCAGGUAUCUUAACUGAUGGGUUUCUGAAUGACAAGGGAAAGCAUCUCAUCAGAACAGAGUUUAUGUCUUUAUUAUCCUUUCUUUUUAUUAUUUUCUCCCCAGACAACCUAA